rnacentral:rRNA from 1 species
UACGGGAGGCAGCAGUAGGGAAUCUUCCGCAAUGGGCGAAAGCCUGACGGAGCAAUGCCGCGUGAGUGAAGAAGGCCUUCGGGUCGUAAAACUCUGUUAUAAGAGAAGAACAAAUUGUAGAGUAACUGCUACAGUCUUGACGGUAUCUUAUCAGAAAGCCACGGCUAACUACGUGCCAGCAGCCGCGGUAAUACGUAGGUGGCAAGCGUUGUCCGGAUUUAUUGGGCGUAAAGGGAGCGCAGGUGGUUUCUUAAGUCUGAUGUGAAAGCCCACGGCUUAACCGUGGAGGGUCAUUGGAAACUGGGAAACUUGAGUACAGAAGAGGAAUGUGGAACUCCAUGUGUAGCGGUGGAAUGCGUAGAUAUAUGGAAGAACACCAGUGGCGAAGGCGACAUUCUGGUCUGUUACUGACACUGAGGCUCGAAAGCGUGGGGAGCAACAGG